UACAGAGGUCUCAAGCGUUGUUCGGAUUCAUUGGGCGUAAAGGGUGUGUAGGUGGCGCCGUAAGUCGGGUGUGAAAUUUCGGAGCUUAACUCCGAAACUGCAUUCGAUACUGCGGUGCUUGAGGACUGGAGAGGAGACUGGAAUUCAUGGUGUAGCAGUGAAAUGCGUAGAGAUCAUGAGGAAGACCAGUGGCGAAGGCGGGUCUCUGGACAGUUCCUGACACUGAGGCGCGAAAGCGUGGGUAGCAAACGGG
rnacentral:rRNA from 1 species